rnacentral:rRNA from 1 species
GAUGAACGCUGGCGGCGUGCCUAAUACAUGCAAGUCGAGCGAACAGACGAGGAGCUUGCUCCUCUGACGUUAGCGGCGGACGGGUGAGUAACACGUGGAUAACCUACCUAUAAGACUGGGAUAACUUCGGGAAACCGGAGCUAAUACCGGAUAAUAUAUUGAACCGCAUGGUUCAAUAGUGAAAGACGGUUUUGCUGUCACUUAUAGAUGGAUCCGCGCCGCAUUAGCUAGUUGGUAAGGUAACGGCUUACCAAGGCAACGAUGCGUAGCCGACCUGGGAGGGUGAUCGGCCCCACUGGAACUGAGCCACGGUCCAGACUCCUACGGGAGGCAGCAGUAGGGAAUCUUCCGCAAUGGGCGAAAGCCUGACGGAGCAACGCCGCGUGAGUGAUGAAGGUCUUCGGAUCGUAAAACUCUGUUAUUAGGGAAGAACAAAUGUGUAAGUAACUAUGCACGUCUUGACGGUACCUAAUCAGAAAGCCACGGCUAACUACGUG